AUUGAACGCUGGCGGCAUGCUUUACACAUGCAAGUCGAACGCGAAAGCGGGGGCAACCCUGCCGGUAGAGUGGCGAACGGGUGAGUAAUACAUCGGAACGUAUCCUCGCGUGGGGGACAACCAGUCGAAAGACGGGCUAAUACCGCAUACGCUGGAGACAGGAAAGCAGGGGACCCGCAAGGGCCUUGUGCGCAUGGAGCGGCCGAUGUCUGAUUAGCUAGUUGGGNGGGGUAAAGGCUCACCAAGGCGACGAUCAGUAGCUGGUCUGA
rnacentral:rRNA from 1 species